GUUGGUCAUGUUUGUAGGCUUCAAACCGAGGGUGGUUCUGAAGCCC
rnacentral:tRNA from 13 species